GGCUCUUUGAAUUAUUUUUAUAAAGAGUCAGGCCUGCCCAGUGAAAUUUACUUUAACGGCCGCGGUACUCUGACCGUGCAAAGGUAGCAUAAUCAUUUGCCUUAUAAUUGAAGGCUAGUAUGAAUGGUUUAACGAGAGCAGCACUGUCUCUUUUUUAUUUUCAAGAACUUAACCUUUAGGUGAAGAGGCCUAAAUUUUAUUGAAGGACAAGAAGACCCUGUCGAGCUUAAAAGACACUAUAGAAGUUUAUAUAUACCUAAAUAAAUUUUCUGUUAAGCUUUUUAGUUGGGGCGACUAAGGAACAAAAAAAGCUUCUUAAGUAAAACAAACAUUCAAGUUUUGAUCCGGUGAUAGCCGAUUUAAGGAAUUAGUUACCGCAGGGAUAACAGCAUAAUCUCUCUUGAGAGACCUAAUCGAAAGAGGGGGUUGUGACCUCGAUGUUGGACUAGAAUAUCCUAAAGAUGCAGAAGUCUUUAAGGGUCGGUCUGUUCGACCGUUAAAAUUUU
rnacentral:rRNA from 1 species